CUCAUAUCUUUAUUCUUGCUCUUUUUUAUGUUUUCUUUCUUUUUUCUUUUUUCAUUCAGCCAUCUUUUCCAUAUCAGUAUAUAUAUAUAUUUUUUUUUUAUUUUGUUGUAUUUUUAUAUUUUUUCAUUAACCUUUUAAUUUUUUUUGUUAUUCUCAUAUUUAAAUUUUUUUUGUUCAUUUUUGUUUUUCUUUCAACUUUUGUUUUUUCCUUUUUUUUCUUUUUUUUCAUUCAGAUAUCUUUUCCAUAUUAGUUAUUUUUUAUUUAUUUUUAAUGUUUUUAGAAAUUGCCCUGCAAUUGGGUCUUGGCAUUAUAUUUAUGAAUACAUACUUAAAGGGGAAUGAGGAGUAUAUAUUUUAGUGUCAAUUUUAUAUACUGCAGUUUACUAAAGGAACACUAUAGGGUCAGGAACACAAACAUGUAUACCUGAUCCUAUUGUGUUAAAAUAACUAUUUAGGUCCCCUGGCCCCCCCCUUGACUAACUUAAACAUUGAAAAAUGCCACUUUAUGCCAGUGCCGCGCAGAUCUGAUGGCGCUGGUUCCAACCCUGAUCCUCCUUGGCUGACCUCAUAGAAAUGUAUUGAAUCAAUGCAUCUCCGUGCCGAAAUUUCAGUUUCUCAAUAUAGAGCGUAGAGAAGCUGAACGUCCUGACCAAGGAAGCACCUCUAGUGGCAGUCUGAGGAGUGGCCACUAGAAGUGUUCCUAGGCUGUAAUGUAAACACUGCCUUUUCUCUGAAAAUACAGUGUUUACAGCAAAAAGCCAACAGGGACUGACUACAUUAACUAUACAACAAUUUACCCACUUGCAGCACUAGAUGCCUUUGGGCAUAGUGUUCAAAUAAAAAAAUUAACCCCUUAAGGACCAAACUUCUGGAAUAAAAUGGAAUCAUGACAUGUCAGACAUGUCAUAUGUCCUUAAGGGGUUAAAAAAUGGACAUGCCAUUUAUCACCCCCUACACAUGGCUUUUACCAGGGUAUUUAUACAUGAUGUAUUGAGUGGACACGCCAUUGUCCAUUCUCCUAAAUGAGGUAAGUAUUUCCAGGUAUUAGAUUUAUUGUGCCUACCCUCAUUGUUAUUAGGGUGAGGAGGCAGAUAGAAAUUUCAUAACGGAGGGGAUGGCUAGGGGCGUGUGGACAAUAGGACACCUGGGGUUAAUGCAGGACAUUGCACUCUCAUUUGUGGGGGUGAACAGUGUCAUGUUUACAUCUCUUUAUUUAGUUAACACACCCCACCCAAAGCCCAUGACCUGUUAACCACCCCUGAUUUAUAUACUAGCCCUCACUGAUGGUUAUAUAUAUCUAAUAUCUAUUUAAUAGGCUUGGUACCCCUAGAUAUCUUAGGUUAUUGGGGAAUGACACCCUCUUUGGGAGUUGGACAAUAUCCAUUUCCUGAGGUUGAAAGACUCUCCCAAUAAUUUACAGGAUGUGACCUUGUUAGCCCUUGGGCAAACAAUGCAUUGGAAC